rnacentral:misc_RNA from 1 species
CAGAGUUAAAAACUCACCAAACCCACUGCAAACGUACCUAUCUCAGCCCCUCCGGCAGGCGGCCCCAGGGCGGGGCCUCAGCCUACGGCGCCUGCCGAAGGUGGCACAAAUUUUGCUCUUACAAGUAAAUCUGAGUCUAAAGACAAAAUAUCA